rnacentral:rRNA from 1 species
CUUCGGUAGAGCGGCGAACGGGUGAGUAACACGUUGGAACCUGCCUCGAACUCAGGGAUAACAUCGAGAAAUCGGUGCUAAUACCGGAUAGUCCCGCAAGGGUAAAGAUUUUUCGGUUCGAGAGGGGCCUGCGUCCUAUUAGCUAGUUGGUGAGGUAAUGGCUUACCAAGGCGAUGAUGGGUAGCUGGUCUGAGAGGAUGAUCAGUCACAGGGGAACUGAGACACGGUCCCCACUCC